rnacentral:rRNA from 1 species
UACGUAGGUCCCGAGCGUUGUCCGGAUUUAUUGGGCGUAAAGCGAGCACAGGUGGUUUAUUAAGUCUGGUGUAAAAGGCAGUGGCUCAACCAUUGUAUGCAUUGGAAACUGGUAGACUUGAGUGCAGGAGAGGAGAGUGUAAUUCCAUGUGUAGCGGUGAAAUGCGUAGAUAUAUGGAGGAACACCGGUGGCGAAAGCGGCUCUCUGGCCUGUAACUGACACUGAGGCUCGAAAGCGUGGGGAGCAAACAGG